rnacentral:tRNA from 1 species
GGAGAGGUGGCCGAGUGGUUGAAGGCGCCGGUCUCGAAAACCGGUAUGCGUCUCUGGCGCAUCGCGGGUUCGAAUCCCGCUCUCUCCGCCA